AUUACUGGACAGUGACAGAACUCAGGUUCAGCAUUCACAAAUACAAAUAGAUGGAAUUCAAAGAGAAAACAUCAGCCUAUCGAGAUGUAAUAUGAUGCAAACAGACAUGUUAAAACCAUGAAGUUAAAAUAACAACAAAGACAGAAGAGAAACGACCCCACAGAGAUGCAAUGUGACCACAAAGAGACACAAAGAUACUAAAAGGAGCUACAAAAAACCACAAAGAGGCAGAAAGUUAUUACAGACAAAGCGACACCAGACACGUCUGUGUUUUUACAAACGUGUCAGUGAGAGCAAAGGUUCAGACAGCAUUUAAACUCUACCGACAUACACUCGAUACAGAUUUUAACAAGUUUGAAUUUACUGAACAAGCUAUAGGCAACACCUCGACUGUGCAAGCGUAUACCUGGAAAAAAAAGAUGUUAGAUGUCCUAAAAAUGUGGGAAACAACCAUUUAUUUCAUCUCUCAAACACUUUAGGUCAAAGGGGAUCACAUUUUCAUAUAUACACAGGGAACAGAAACCCCCAAAGGUUUGGACAUGAGCAAACUUUAUAAAGAUUGGAACAUGCACUCCCCAGAUACUUUAUUAUGAACACAUUGCUAGUGCUGGGCUGGAUGCCUUUGUUCAUUCAGAACUGCCUCAAUUCUUCACAGCACAGAUUCAAGGUGGUGGACCCUCAGAGAUUCUGGUCCGUGUUGACGUGACGGCAUCACACAGUUGCUGCAGAUUUGUCGGCUGCACAUCCACGAUGGGAAUCUCACAUUCCACCACAUCCCAAAGGCGCUGCGCUAGGUUGAGAUCUGGUGACUGUGGAGGCCAUUGGAGUGCAGAGAACUGGUUCAAGAAACCAAUUUUGAGAUGAUUUGAGCUUUGUGACGCUGUGUGCUGGACGCAGCCAUCAGAAGAUGGGUACAGUGUGGUCAUAAAGGGAUGGACAUGGUGAGCAAUAAUACUCAGGCAUGCUGUGGCAUUUAAAUUAUGCUCAUUUAUUUCUGAGGGGCCCAAAGCAGGCCAAGAAAAUAUCCCCCACCAAUCUGAAGCACAGUUGUGCUGUGUGUGGGCCUCCGCACCUGUGUGAAAUGUAGGGCGGCUCACAUCUAUAAUGUGGGCAUAUUGUGGGUACACCAUGGGCCCUCACUGUGGGCCUCUCUCUGCUUAGUGUGGGCUGUCCACACUAAACUGUCAGCGUGGUUCAUAUUUCACACCUGUACUGGGCCCUAUUGGGGUCUGUUCAUACCCUGAGUGGGCUUUUUGCAGGGUUUUCACCCAGAAUUAUCGCUCACUGGAUAUUUCUCUUUCUCAGAUAACUCUACACGUGAUUAAUUAGAUCAGCAGUUUCUGAACCACUCAGCCCAUCUAGCACCAACAAUCAUGUCAGGUUAAAAGUCACUGAGAUUACUUCUCUUCCCCAUUCUGAUAGGAGGUUUAAUCUUGAAAUGUGAGUUGUUGCAAUGUGAUUGGCUGAUUAGAUAAUUGCAUGGUGUACCUAACAAAGCGACUAGUGAGUUCUUAUGAAGGAGAAAAGCUGUUAAAAGAGAGAGCAGGAGCUUAAAAUCUCUUCCCAAAGGUCCCAAACCACAACGCCUACCUCAGUAACACCUCUGAGGUUUACACAUGCUUCCGCUGGGUCAUCUCACCUUUCUUGGAGAGACCCCGCCCCCACCCCCACUGCCAACAGUGCCCCAAAAGGAAAGUCCUUCCUGUUGCAACACCUCGGGCCCUCCAGUGAGUGUUGUUCAGGAGACGAGUUAUAACAGGCAGCGUUAUCUGUAGUUGUAUUGGAAAAAAACAAAAGGCAAAGGAAAUGAUGCAAGUUCCAUCAAGGAUGAAGUCUGUCAUACAGACUCGGCAAUAAUGAAAAAAAUCUUGAAAUAAUAUCUGACGACAUUAACUGUUUCCACUUAAAUCCCAUUAACUGUUUUUGGAAUUACAGUCAUUCUGUGCCUCUCACUGCAUUUAGGAUCUUUUUUUCCCCAAUGCCUGAAAAAGAUGCUCUUACUAGGUUGAUAUCCGGUUUCUCACUUGGCCAUGGAAGACUAUCCCAUUUCUCUGGAAAUUCACAGUAAUUACAGAUUACGUUUUUCUUUUUAACUUUUUCAUAAUCAAAAUGUAAUUUUUCCCCACCUAAAUUAAACUAGCCCUGCUGGUACCAAUAGUUGAGAUUCAUUGGCCUGAUGAAAUAACAGAAUGUAAAGUUGGGGAGUUUACUAUAAAAUGCAGUCGUGUGUAAGUUUUGCUGAAGCACAUUAAACAGAGGCUCUGAGGUCACGCAUGUCAUUUCCUGCAUAUUUUUGUGCAUCAACUUCUACCUUUUCUUCAUUAGCAUCCAGGUGUAAGUUGUGGAGGCAGCAAUUCUAAGCAGAGAUACCCAGACCUGCCUCUCCUCAGCCACUUCCUCCAGCUCUUCUUGGGGGACGCCAGGCCAUUCCCAAGAGGCACGAGCCCCCCAGUGUGUCCUGGUCUACCCAGGGGUCUCCUCCCAGGUGGACAUGCCUGAAACAGCUCACCUUCUAGUUGCCCCUGAAGGCAUCGCAGUCAGAUGUAGCGGGCCUACUUUGAGCUCAUUUCCAAGACUAUUACCCACGAUCUUCUUCAGUCAUUAAUCACAGCUCGUGGCCAUCGGUCAAGCAGUAAAUCAACAGCUUUGCUUUCAUGCUCAACUUUUGGUGCAGCAUCCACAUUAUGAGACCCUCCACCUUUUGGCUGCGAUUCUAAGCAGAGCUGCCGAAAGAGAGCUUCCCCGAGUAGCAACUGAACAGAACACUGCACAUUUGCAGGCAUGAUUCACCCUCCCGUCCUCCUUGGUGCUUGUUUGUACUGAGAACCCUCACGAACGGAAUGUGGACAACUUUGUGCAAAUUGGAGCACGUCACACACGUCUGUGUUUUGGAAAUGAACUUUAGUGCAUCGUGUACAUCUCGAGUAAGAAAACUUGGUCAGGCACAGAUCGGAUACCAAACAGGAAAAAACACCAGCCUUUUAAUACCAAUGCAAAUACUCUGAAUGUGCUAUUGAGCAAUGCAGUCAACCUAAACAAUAAAAAGUGUUAUUAAGGAGCUUUCAGCAUCUCUUUGCAUGGUACAAAAUGAGCAGCAGGAAAGUGACUAAGCAUGUCGCUCUCUCUGGAGGCUGAAAUAAAAUAGAGAAGCAAAUGAGACAAAAACAUACAGCUUGACCACCGACUGUUUUAAUUCCUCUGACGUAAAUGAAUGACACUCAUGGGAAACAUCUUACAAAACUUCCUCAUGCACCAGUUACAAAAGUACAAACUGAAACAAGACUCCCUCUUUCUUUCACAACACAGCUUUGGUUGAAGCUGGGUUAUUUUCAGGUUAGACCGCCAUUAUUUUCCCUUAUAAUGUUUUCCAGCACAUCACAACAAAGACAGUCACGAGGUGCAAACACGUGAUAGCGAGUGCCGUUUAGUACACGGAGCAGCUUGGAAACCAUAUGAUUUACUGUAAAUGUUAAGACACACUGGAAUGUUACACGACAAGAAUAAGGAAGCAGACCAGGAAUUCCUUUCAUAUUCAGCCGGGCUGUCAUAUCAGAGCUUUCUGUCCAAUUAUGGCCAUUUUAUGAAUUUCAGAUAGUGAAUAAAAAACCAACAAAAAAACAUGAGUCAGAUGAUGAAAGUCAGACGGUUUAAAAACCUCUGUCAGCUCCGUCUUUCCUCACAUCUACACAGGCAGAAACUUUAACGACCCACGCGGCCACAACAGGACCAUUUACGUGAAACUCCAGGUCGAAAUAAACCCGUGUUUUUUCUUUAACCCCACUGAUGUCAACAAUCCAUUUACAGCACAAAUCACAAACUGUUUCAUUGUAGUUGUUGCUUCAUAUUCGUCUGUGUGCCUCACAGCCUGUUGCACCAGCUGUGUUUAGGUUUGCACAUUUCCUGCAAUUUCUUUUAGCGAUUUUGCAAUUAGCUACAGUCAUGGUAACGAGAAAGCACACCCUCUAUCACUUCUUAAGUUUUAAAUAUCAGGAGAUAAAAGUCAUUUGCUCCUUAUCGGGUUCUAAAAUUUCGUAAAUCCAACUCAGAUAAACUACAAUAGACGACGUUCAGACAAUGAGUCAUUGUUUAUUUCACAGAAACUAAACCCUGAGGCAGAAGCAGCGUGUGAAACACUAGAUGCACCCUCACUGCUUCCAUAGGAACUAAGCGGUUUAGCAGCCUGGUGCUGAGAGUCAGAUGCACUCGAUUAACUGAUCAUCAGCAAGUGUGCAAACUUUGGCAGUUUGCUCGUCUCUUAACAUAAUACCAAGGAGGAAAGACAUCAGCAGACAAGGCUUGUGAGGUCAGCCUGGGCUGGUUUCCUCUUAUCUGUGUUUAUAUGUGUAAAAGCCACAACCAACAGAGUGCUCGCUCUCACAGCGUCAUACAAAGGAUUGUCCUGAGAAUCAGGACACAGUGGGGAAAAAAGGCAUUAUUCCCGUUUAAUCUGGAAUAAUCUACGGAAGGAGCUGACAUUGUCAGAAAUGGUUGCCAUGGGGGAGUUUAAGUGCAUUUUAAAGGAGAAAAACUCUUUUAGUCAGUGUGACUGUUUUUAAUGUAGCUCUUAAUGAUCUGCUGUUGCAUACCAUCCACACCUGUGCUCACUCGUCAGUGUGGAAUAUUGUAUUUGCUUUUUACUUCUUACGUGUUGUAGUUGUUGUAACCUUUGUGCAGGACUCUCUUGGAAAUUUGUCCAACUUUCUACAGUGAGAAAGAUUAUUCACAAGUGGAAGCAUUCGAGAUUGCUGCACAUCUUAGGUUCGCAAAGCUGAAGAAAACAAGACUUCUGGAACAAAUCAUGAGAGCAAAGCGGAGACGUCUGUCCACAACACAGAGCGACACGUUUGGAGAAGCUAAACACUGCACCUCGUGUCUGCUGUCAGCACGGUGGUGGAGGCGUGAAGAUUUGGUCUUGUUUUACAGCCACAGAAACGAGAUUCACUCAAAGUCCAGACCUCAACCGGACGGAGGUGCUGCGGUGGGACGUAAAGGUGGUUCUACAAGCUGCUGAAUCACGGCGUGUCUUUAGGAUUUCACACACUGCUUCUGCAUUGUGGCUUAGAUUUAGUUAAAUAAUGACACGAUGUAAUGUGCCCUGUGCGGUUGUUCAUCUGGGGCUGUGUUUAAAUCAUUUUAAUGUGAGUUUUAUGACGUUCUCAGUCACCCAGGUCAUGGUAGUCUGAGGAGCUUGGACUUCUUUAAAUUUCCUGAAGCUGUUUCACCUCUGAUCCAAGAAGCUUCUUCAGUCUUCCAAGCUCCUCAGACCACAGCUCGUAAUAAUGAUCCACUGGCUUCAUUUUCCAGCCCAGGAGGUUGCUGCUUGGUAAUAAUAGUAAAUAAAAAGACAAACAAAAACAAAAAUGAGAUGAUAUUUUGCAUACUGGAAUAAAUAACAAAAAAAAAA